rnacentral:rRNA from 1 species
GACGAACGCUGGCGGCGUGCCUAAUACAUGCAAGUAGAACGCUGAAGAGAGGAGCUUGCUCUUCUUGGAUGAGUUGCGAACGGGUGAGUAACGCGUAGGUAACCUGCCUUGUAGCGGGGGAUAACUAUUGGAAACGAUAGCUAAUACCGCAUAACAAUGGAUGACACAUGUCAUUUAUUUGAAAGGGGCAAUUGCUCCACUACAAGAUGGACCUGCGUUGUAUUAGCUAGUAGGUGAGGUAAUGGCUCACCUAGGCGACGAUACAUAGCCGACCUGAGAGGGUGAUCGGCCACACUGGGACUGAGACACGGCCCAGACUCCUACGGGAGGCAGCAGUAGGGAAUCUUCGGCAAUGGGGGCAAACCUGACCGAGCAACGCCGCGUGAGUGAAGAAGGGUUUCGGAUCGUAAAGCUCUGUUGUAAGUCAAGAACGGGUGUGAGAGUGGAAAGUUCACACUGUGACGGUAGCUUACCAGAAAGGGACGGCUAACUACGUG